CCCCUACAUACCUCUGAUCGAAACUAAAUCAGAGUCCAAACCUCUUCAUGAGCUCACUUGAUCAUCCUCCUAGAGAUUAUGGCAUUGGGGCAUCCAUAACCUGAAGCUAAACCGCACAAGAAAAAGAGUUCCUGUAGCCUUCGCAAAACUGCAGUCUUUACUCAUGCUCGUCAUCUUGUGCACUUCCUCCACUCAUGCCCACCUCCGAAGUUUCC
rnacentral:lncRNA from 1 species